AGGUUGGUGCAAAAGUAAUUGUGGUUUUUGCCAUUACCACAAUAACUUUUGCACCAACCUAA
rnacentral:miRNA from 1 species